ACGCUUACACUCGAGGAUGGGCCCCGCGGCCCAUCAUGGUAGUUGGUAGGGUAACGGCUACCAAGCCGAAGACGGGUAGCUGGUCUUAGAGGAUGAUCAGCCACACUGGAACUGAGACACGGUCCAGACUCCUACGGGAGGCAGCAGUGGGGAAUCUUGCGCAAUGGGCAAAAGCCUGACGCAGCGACGCCGCGUGGGUGAUGAAGGCCUUCGGGUUGUAAAAGCUCUGUGGGGAGAGACGAAUAAGACGUGGCUAACAUCCACGGCGAUGACGGUAUCUCCUUAGCAAGCACCGGCUAACUCUGUGCCAGCAGCCGCGGUAAGACAGAGGGUGCAAACGUUGUUCGGAAUUACUGGGCGUAAAGCGUGUGUAGGCGGCCAGGUAAGUUGGAUGUGAAAGCCCGGGGCUCAACCCCGGAAGUGCAUUCAAAACUGCUUGGCUUGAGUAUCGGAGAGGUUGGUGGAAUUCUCGGUGUAGAGGUGAAAUUCGUAGAUAUCGAGAGGAACACCGGUGGCGAAGGC
rnacentral:rRNA from 1 species